rnacentral:lncRNA from 1 species
GUAUUAUUUUAAAAAAUAUUGUGUUAUGUUCUCCAUGCUCAGGCCAAUGUUAUAUAAUUAUCUCGUCAAUUUUGUAGUGAGCUUAUUUCAUUUUAAUUACUUAAUAUAUCAUCGUAAACAUUUACAUUUGUUAGCUCGAAAUAUCCUUCUGAAACCCCAGGAAAGUCACCAAAAUAACAACCAACUUCAAAAUCACCAAUGUCAAAAAAAAUCACAAUUCAAGAAAAUUAUGCUCCUAAACAAAAUUUCAACGUUCAAGAUAAUGUAAUAUUCCAAUGUUCACGCCUAUUUGAAAUUUUGCUCGAAGUAACUUUCAAACACUCUGGUGCAAACGACCUAUAAUUACUUUCAAAUCCUCAAGUGGCUACGAACAUUAUUUUUGCUACUAAUUUUGUAGCAAUAGAUUGUUUUUAAAUUAUGUCAGGCAAAUCGUUUUUUGUUGGGCAGAUCAAAAUGUAACCACUCCCCUUGACAUAUCCCAACUAACAUUGCAUAAAUACUAUAUAAUCAUACAUUUAAACAUUUAUCACAUUGCUAGAUAAAUUUAUAUAACGCUAUCCCAAAAUAUAAAACUAUUGACUGGAAAGUAACCCAGAUCCUACACAGAAACAUUUCACAAGACUCCUGAAAGCGCAAUAGUAGAAACUUAUUCAAGAGGUUGCAUUGUGUCAUGGGUGGCGAUGUGAUCUUCGAGUUUUCUGGGAACAUCAAACACAACAUCACAAACACAACAAACAUAUCCAACACCAGUUGGUUCUGUUGAUUCCAGUUCUUGACAUAAACCACAUAGAUAUUUUCCAUCACUACCAUGCUGCUUUGCAAUAUGUUGUAAUAAUUUCAUAAAAUUAUAAAGACAUUUGUCACAUUUACUGCACACGUAUUUUCCAUUCUGUUUAUCCUCGACAAAAUGUUCUUUCAAAUCUUCAGGUUGAACAAUCUCGCUGGUGCAAGAGUUGCACAACAAAUGUUGCUUUUCGUGCCAAACAAGAGAUAGUUUGCGUGUAAAUCUUUCCUUACAAACAUCACAUUCAUAAGGUUUUUCGCCAGUGUGCAAUUUUUUAUGUCUAACUAAUGUGCUUAACUGCGCAAAUCUCUUCUUACAAACAGCACAUUCAUAGGGUUUGUUUCCACUGUGUGUUCUUUUAUGCAGAACUAAGCUGCUUGAGCGUGUAAAUCUCUUUUUACAAACAUCGCAUUCAUAAGGUUUGUCUCCAGUGUGUGUUCUUUUAUGUUGCACCAAACCAGCUGACUGUGUAAAUCUCUUCUUACAAAUAUCGCAUUCAUAAGGUUUGUCUCCACUGUGUGUUCUUUUAUGUUGCAACAAGCCUGCUGACUGUGUAAAUCUCUUCUUACAAAUGUCGCAUUCAUAAGGUUUGUCUCCACUGUGUAUUCUUUUAUGUUGCACCAAGCCUGUUGACUGUGUAAAUCUCUUCUCACAAAUGUCGCAUUCAUAAGGUUUGUCUCCACUGUGUGUUCUUUUAUGUUGCACCAAGCCUGUUGACUGUGUAAAUCUCUUCUUACAAAUGUCGCAUUCAUAAGGUUUGUCUCCACUGUGUAUUCUUUUAUGUUGCACCAAGCCUGUUGACUGUGUAAAUCUCUUCUUACAGACAUCACAUUCAUAAAUGUUGCCUCCACUGUGUGUUCUCUUAUGCAGAACCAAGCUGCUUGAGCGUGUAAAUCUCUUCUUACAAAUAUCGCAUUCAUAAGGUGUGUCUCCACUGUGCGUUCUUUUAUGUCGCACCAAGCCUGCUGACUGUGUAAAUCUCUUCUUACAAAUAUUGCAUUCAUAAGGUUUGUCUCCACUGUGCGUUCUUUUAUGUCGCACCAAGCCUGUUGACUGUGUAAAUCUCUUCUUGCAAACAUCACAUUCAUAAGGUUUGUCUCCACUGUGUAUUCUUUUAUGUUGCACCAAGCCUGUUGACUGUGUAAAUCUCUUCUUACAGACAUCACAUUCAUAAAUGUUGCCUCCACUGUGUGUUCUCUUAUGCAGAACCAAGCUGCUUGAGCGUGUAAAUCUCUUCUUACAAAUAUCGCAUUCAUAAGGUGUGUCUCCACUGUGCGUUCUUUUAUGUCGCACCAAGCCUGCUGACUGUGUAAAUCUCUUCUUACAAAUAUUGCAUUCAUAAGGUUUGUCUCCACUGUGCGUUCUUUUAUGUCGCACCAAGCCUGUUGACUGUGUAAAUCUCUUCUUGCAAACAUCACAUUCAUAAGGUUUGUCUCCACUGUGUAUUCUUUUAUGUCGCAACAAGCCUGCUGACUGUGUAAAUCUUUUCUUACAAAUAUCGCAUUCAUAAAGUUUGUCUCCAAUGUGUGUUCUUUUAUGCAGAAACAAGCUGCUUGAGCAUGUAAAUCUCUUCUUACAAACAUGGUAUUCAGAAGCUUUGUUUCCAGUGUGUGCUCUCUCAUCUCUUAUCAGUCUCUUUCCACAGUGAUCAGACAUGAUUUCAUGUACUUUAAAAGCUUAAUUGUAUACUAAAAACUAC